CUUCUGGGGCCGCCACGGCUGCGCCUUCGACGCCUCCGGCCGCGGCCGCUGCGCCACCGGCGACUGCGGCGGCAACCUCUACUGCUCCGGCCUCGGCGGCACCCCUCCCGCCACCCUCGCCGAGAUCACCCUCGGCCACGAGCAGGACUUCUAUGACGUCAGCCUGGUCGAUGGGUACAACCUCGCCAUCUCCAUCACACCCUACCAGGGCUCCGGCAAGUGCAGCUACGCCGGGUGCGUCAGCGACCUG
rnacentral:lncRNA from 1 species